GACGAACGCUGGCGGCGUGCCUAACACAUGCAAGUCGAGCGAAUGAAGUUCCUUCGGGAAUGGAUUUAGCGGCGGACGGGUGAGUAACACGUGGGCAACCUGCCUCAUAGAGGGGAAUAGCCUUCCGAAAGGGAGAUUAAUACCGCAUAAGAUUGUAGUAUCGCAUGAUACAGCAAUUAAAGGAGCAAUCCGCUAUGAGAUGGGCCCCGCGGCGCAUUAGCUAGUUGGUGAGGUAACGGCUCACCAAGGCGACGAUGCGUAGCCGACCUGAGAGGGUGAUCGGCCACAUUGGGACUGAGACACGGCCCAGACUCCUACGGGUGGCAG
rnacentral:rRNA from 1 species